rnacentral:rRNA from 1 species
AAUGGGGGAAACCCUGACGCAGCAAUGCCGCGUGAGUGAGGAAGGGUUUCGGCUCGUAAAGCUCUGUCAGAUGGGAAAGGCAGUAACCAUGUAUUUGAAGGUACCUUCAAAGGAAGCACCGGCUAACUUCGUGCCAGCAGCCGCGGUAAUACGAAGGGUGCAAGCGUUGUUCGGAUUUAUUGGGCGUAAAGCGCGCGCAGGCGGACGGCUAAGUCAGAUGUGAAAUCUCGGGGCUCAACCCCGAAACUGCGUCUGAAACUGGUCGUCUAGAAUCUCGGAGAGGAAAGGGGAAUUUCGCAUGUAGGGGUAAAAUCCGUAGAGAUGCGAAGGAACACCAGAGGCGAAGGCGCCUUUCUGGACGAGUAUUGACGCUGAGGCGCGAAAGCGUGGGGAGCAAACAGGAUU